rnacentral:rRNA from 1 species
UACGGAGGGUGCAAGCAUUAGUCGGAUUUAUUGGGCGUAAAGGGCGCGUAGGCGGGGAUAAUAGUCAGAUGUGAAAUCCCGGGGCUCAACCUCGGAACUGCAUUUGAAACUGUAUCUCUAGAGGGUAGGCGGAGAAAACGGAAUUCCACAAGUAGCGGUGAAAUGCGUAGAUAUGUGGAAGAACACCGGUGGCGAAGGCGGUUUUCUAGCUUACACCUGACGCUGAGGCGCGAAAGCAAGGGGAUCAAACAGG